rnacentral:rRNA from 1 species
CCUACGGGGGGCAGCAGUGGGGAAUAUUGCACAAUGGGGGAAACCCUGAUGCAGCGACGCCGCGUGAGUGAAGAAGUCAUUCGUUAUGUAAAGCUCUAUCAGCAGGGCAGAAAAUGACGUUACCUGAGUAAGAAGCCCCGGCUAACUACGUGCCAGCAGCCGCGGUAAUACGUAGGGAGCAAGCGUUAUCCGGAUUUACUGGGUGUAAAGGGGACGUAGCCGGCAGUGCAAGGCUGGAGUGAAAGGCGGGGGCUCAAACCCCUGCCUGCUCUGGAAACUGUACGGCUGGAGUGCAGGAGAGGUAAGUGGAAUUCCUAGUGUAGCGGUGAAAUGCGUAGAUAUUAGGAGGAACACCAGUGGCGAAGGCGGCUUACUGGACUGUAACUGACGUUGAGGCACGAAAGCGUGGGGAGCAAACAGGAUUAGAUACCCUUGUAGUC